UACGAGAGGUCCAAAACGUUAUUCGGAAUCACUGGGCUUACAGAGUUCGUAGGCGGUCCGGAAAGUGGGGUGUGAAAGCCCUCGGCUCAACCGAGGAAUUGCGCUCCGAAACUACCGGGCUAGAGGAAGAUAGAGGUGAGCGGAACUGAUGGUGGAGCGGUGAAAUGCGUUGAUAUCAUCAGGAACACCAGUGGCGAAGGCGGCUCACUGGACCGGUAUUGACGCUGAGGUGCGAAAGCGUUGGGGAGCAAACAGG
rnacentral:rRNA from 1 species